UUAAAUUGAAGAGUUUGAUCAUGGCUCAGAUUGAACGCUGGCGGCAGGCCUAACACAUGCAAGUCGAACGGUAACAGGAAGCAGCUUGCUGCUUCGCUGACGAGUGGCGGACGGGUGAGUAAUGUCUGGGAAACUGCCUGAUGGAGGGGGAUAACUACUGGAAACGGUGGCUAAUACCGCAUAACGUCGCAAGACCAAAGAGGGGGACCUUCGGGCCUCUUGCCAUCAGAUGUGCCCAGAUGGGAUUAGCUUGUUGGUGAGGUAACGGCUCACCAAGGCGACGAUCCCUAGCUGGUCUGAGAGGAUGACCAGCCACACUGGAACUGAGACACGGUCCAGACUCCUACGGGAGGCAGCAGUGGGGAAUAUUGCACAAUGGGCGCAAGCCUGAUGCAGCCAUGCCGCGUGUAUGAAGAAGGCCUUCGGGUUGUAAAGUACUUUCAGCGGGGAGGAAGGUGUUGUGGUUAAUAACCACAGCAAUUGACGUUACCCGCAGAAGAAGCACCGGCUAACUCCGUGCCAGCAGCCGCGGUAAUACGGAGGGUGCAAGCGUUAAUCGGAAUUACUGGGCGUAAAGCGCACGCAGGCGGUCUGUCAAGUCGGAUGUGAAAUCCCCGGGCUCAACCUGGGAACUGCAUUCGAAACUGGCAGGCUUGAGUCUUGUAGAGGGGGGUAGAAUUCCAGGUGUAGCGGUGAAAUGCGUAGAGAUCUGGAGGAAUACCGGUGGCGAAGGCGGCCCCCUGGACAAAGACUGACGCUCAGGUGCGAAAGCGUGGGGAGCAAACAGGAUUAGAUACCCUGGUAGUCCACGCCGUAAACGAUGUCUACUUGGAGGUUGUGCCCUUGAGGCGUGGCUUCCGGAGCUAACGCGUUAAGUAGACCGCCUGGGGAGUACGGCCGCAAGGUUAAAACUCAAAUGAAUUGACGGGGGCCCGCACAAGCGGUGGAGCAUGUGGUUUAAUUCGAUGCAACGCGAAGAACCUUACCUGGUCUUGACAUCCACGGAAGUUUUCAGAGAUGAGAAUGUGCCUUCGGGAACCGUGAGACAGGUGCUGCAUGGCUGUCGUCAGCUCGUGUUGUGAAAUGUUGGGUUAAGUCCCGCAACGAGCGCAACCCUUAUCCUUUGUUGCCAGCGAUUAGGUCGGGAACUCAAAGGAGACUGCCAGUGAUAAACUGGAGGAAGGUGGGGAUGACGUCAAGUCAUCAUGGCCCUUACGACCAGGGCUACACACGUGCUACAAUGGCGCAUACAAAGAGAAGCGACCUCGCGAGAGCAAGCGGACCUCAUAAAGUGCGUCGUAGUCCGGAUUGGAGUCUGCAACUCGACUCCAUGAAGUCGGAAUCGCUAGUAAUCGUGGAUCAGAAUGCCACGGUGAAUACGUUCCCGGGCCUUGUACACACCGCCCGUCACACCAUGGGAGUGGGUUGCAAAAGAAGUAGGUAGCUUAACCUUCGGGAGGGCGCUUACCACUUUGUGAUUCAUGACUGGGGUGAAGUCGUAACAAGGUAACCGUAGGGGAACCUGCGGUUGGAUCACCUCCUUACC
rnacentral:rRNA from 1 species